UCGCCACUAAAAAGAGUGUUAAGACGGAUGUUCGUAAAGACCAUGGAAAGGAAGUCUCUUCUGGGAAUGAAGACAGGCUUUUCUUCAAUGAAGAGGAGAAAGAAACAAUAUUUCAGAUUAAAAGCCUAGCAGCUCUGGAAAAAAUCAUUGACAACCUUCGAAGAACUUUAGGCAAAACUCUCAAGCAAAAAAUAAAGAAGCACAAAUAUUUGUUCGGAAAAACCAAACAGCUCAAGCGGAAGUAGGGCCUGAACUGAGAAGCCACGACUGCCUCAGGGGACAGCCACUCAUCCCCACCAGUAGGAAGAAAAGUAAAAUGUAAUCACUAUUUUGUAUAAAGAAGAAUCAAUUUAUUCAAGGAGUGCCAAAUAAAAUGAA